rnacentral:rRNA from 1 species
GUGUCAGCAGCCGCGGUAAUACAGAGGGUGCGAGCGUUGUCCGGAAUCACUGGGCGUAAAGGGCGCGUAGGUGGCUUGGUAAGUAGGGGGUGAAAUCUCGUGGCUCAACUGCGAGACUGCCUCCUAGACUGUCAGGCUCGAGCAGAGUAGAGGCAGGUGGAAUUCCCGGUGUAGCGGUGGAAUGCGUAGAGAUCGGGAAGAACAUCGGUGGCGAAGGCGGCCUGCUGGGCUCUUGCUGACACUGAGGCGCGACAGCGUGGGGAGCAAACAGGAUUAGAUACCCUGGUAGUCCACGCCGUAAACGAUGGGUACUAGGCGCUGGGGGGAGCGACCCCUUCGGUGCCGUCGCUAACGCAGUAAGUACCCCGCCUGGGGAGUACGGCCGCAAGGCUGAA